CCUACUGUCAAGAUCUUCCCUCUCAAGACUUUCCCACACAGAGGAGGGCCUCUGCACACUUUCUUGCUCCCUUCAGGUGAUGACUAUAUGACCACUACUCAUCAGACUUCCUUGCAGAGCCCUCUUCUUGGUCAGUCCACGUUCCCAGUUCAUAUUCAGGGCAGAAAAAUAGGACCAAUAGUGCGUCCAGGCCAUAUGGAGUACACCAGCCAAUACCAGAGUGACUUCCAAGCCUCAGGGUGGAAUCAAGUCCUCAAAACUGACCCAGACAAAAGAAGCCAGGGGAUCAACAAAUACACCCAGACUGUGCAGAAAGACAAUGCCCCUGGCUGGCAGUCCACUAUGCAUCAGCAUCCGAAGCUGAGAUGGGUGAAGCAGGAGAUGACCAUCCUGGGUAGGAAGAGCACUGUCAAGUUUGACGGAGGCACAGUGACCAGGGUAAAGUGCCCAAGCUCUCUGUCUAGAGGUAAUCAGCAUGAGGGUCCUAACUACUCCCUCAACCCAAGGAGGGGAAUGGGGGUAGACAGGGAACAAAGGAAAAUGUUUACCCGACCAGGACACCCCAACCCCACUUGUCUUGAGAAAUCCAGAAAUUUUACUUUCCUGAAUCUGCAGCCACUUAUGGACUCUCAUAUUUGUCCCUGACCACAGAGGUGAGGUACGUAUGCACUUAACAUAUGCUGGACACGUGGUAAGUACUUAACAAAAAAUAACAAUUAAAAUCAUCAUUAUUUCCCCAGACAUGCAUUCCUCUCUUCCCAGAUGUCUUAUCUACCUCCUCCCAAAUCCCUGGUAAAAAGAGUCAAGGGUAAGUGCCCCUCUAGCACACUCAGGGUCUUCAAAGCCAAGUUACAAACUGAAACUACCAGCAAGCAAUUCUUCCAGGACUGUAGAACUCAGCCCCAAGUAUGCUACGGAGACCUUCAUCACAGAGGCUAUGAGAAGCCCCUGGUAAGAACUGUUGUGGGCAGAGGACAGACCUCUGGACUACCCCUUCACCUGUCACCUUGCUAUCAGGGUGAGGGUGGGUGGGGGGAGAACUGUAGGGAGUGGAGUCUGAUGUUUAAACCCUGGAUCUUUCCCAACCUAGAGCAAUUCUGAGCAAGUUAACCUCUCUGCACAGAUGUUUUCUCCUCUGCCAAAAGGAAAAGAAAACAAACCUUGAUUACUAGGCACUAGACAUUGCAUUUCUAUCCGUGACUCCUUCUGAGCAUAACAUGCAGGGAGGGUAAGGUACACUCCUUUUUCAGCUGACUGCUUGCUCUCUGUCCCCUCAAGAGUGUGGGUUCGCAGGCACCACCUCAGGAUCAAACUACCACCAGGACCUCCUACAUGCCCUUGUUUUCUGAAAGAUUGAACCUCUGUAAGCCCAAGGUCAACAGCAGCAAAUGGGAGCCAAACAAAAUUUCUCUACUGAGCAAAGGAAAACAUUCAGACCAGUCCAGCUGCCUGAAAGCCGGCUCCAGAAGUACUUUUGACAAGAGGACUCAAAAUCCCAAAAAAAUAAUAAUAAUCGGGAGAAAGAAACCGCCCAAAUAACCUAUGCAAAAAUGCACAGUUGGGUACCCAUAUCGAACCUUAAAACUGAGGUCCCACCGUAACUACCUCAUAGAACAGACUCAGUUUUCCCGCUGGGAUUUCCCAGUCACACCCUGACCCUAAUACAACUCUUUGAAACUAACUGAGCAAGGGUGAGUAACCUUUUUAGAAAGGAAGGAUGCACUGUGAGUCUUAGAAGGUCAGUGUGUUCCAGGACUCCUGAGGGGAAAAGAGGUCAGACUAUUUCCCCCUAACUAAUGAAUGAAUGGCAAAGCAUCAAAACUUUUCUUGUCAGUGCCAUCAAUUAAUGACAUUCUAUUUGAGCUACAGCAUCUGCUCACUGCUGCUUUUUUUCCCUUUACAUUC